rnacentral:lncRNA from 1 species
UGAAAUUGUAAAAUGAAAUAUAGGCUAAGGGAAGGAUGUGUAUGAAGCUCUGGAGAUUCAUGUUACAUGCAAAGCUGUCCUCGUGUGACUAUGGACCUAUGGAGUUGGGAGAAUCUCUACGGGAAGCAAAAGGCAAGACCCCGGUCAUUUUAGGUAGAAACAACAGCAUGCUCUAGGUGUAGAUCAAUUGAAGAUUAAUAAAGACUGAUAAAAGUAUAUUUGUGUUUGUAUUUUUUUGGUCUCUACAAAUCUGGUCUCUUCCUGAGCUGAAGCAAUCCACCUCCCAAAGUGAGCCACCAUGCCCAGCCCUUUGGA